GAUGAACGCUGGCGGCGUGCCUAAUACAUGCAAGUCGAGCGAACAGACGAGGAGCUUGCUCCUCUGACGUGUGCGGCGGACGUGUGUGUAACACGUGUAUAACCUACCUAUCAGACUGGGAUCACUUCGGGAAACCGGCGCUUAUACCGGAGAAUAUAUUGCACCGCGUGGGUCGAUAGUGAAAGACGGUUGUGGUGUCUGGUAUAGCGGCAUCCGGGCUGGAUUGGCUAGUUGGUAAGGUAACGGCUUACCACGGCGACGAGGCGUAACCGAGGUGAGAGGGUGAUAGGCCGCACUGGAGCUGAACCACGGUCCAGACUCCUACGGGAGGCAGCAGUAGGGAAUCUUCCGCAAUGGGCGAAAGCAUGACGGAGCAACGCCGCGUGAGUGAUGAAGGUCUUCGGAUCGUAAAACUCUGUUAUGAGGGAAGAACAGAUGUGUAAGUAGCUAUGCACGUCUUGACGGUACCUAGUCAGAAAGCCACGGCUAACUACGUG
rnacentral:rRNA from 1 species